ACUUUGCAAAAGCAGCGUUUACCACCAACCACGAGAAACACAGGAGCCUGCCUUCCACUGUUUACCAUUGGGCAGGAAGUCGUUUAUGGACCAUUCUCUUGCCCAGGCUAAAGUGGACACUGAGGGCCGGUUGUGGGUGCCACCAGGCAAGCUAGGGCAUCGGAGUUCAGCAGAGCUGGGUGGGAAUUCUGCUUCUCCCUCCACUACCUGGGUAACCCUGGGCAAGUCACUUAGCCUCUCCGAGCAUAAACUGCUUUGCUUGUAAUAUGCAAAUAGUAAGGGGUGGGGGAAAUUUUCUUUUCUUUUUCUUUUUUUUUUUUGAGACAGAGUCUCCCUCUGUCACCCAGGCUGGAGUGCAGUAGUGUGAUCUCGGCUCAUUGCAACCUCCGCCUCCUGGGUUCAAGCAAUUCUCAUGCCUCAGCCUCCUGAGUAGCUGGGAUUACAGGCGCCCGCCACCACUCCCAGCUAAUUUUUGUAUUUUUAGUAGGGACGAGGUUUCACCAUGUUGGUCAGGCUGGUGUCAAACUCCUGACCUCGUGACCUGCCCUCCUUGGCCUUCCAAAGUGCUGGGAUUACAGGCAUGAUGGAGAUGAUACUCCCUAAAUCACAAGGGUGUGGUGUGAAGAUGAAAUGGCUGCACAUGACAGAGGAGUUGGAGAACAGGAAGCAAGUGGAUCACUUGGAUGAGCUGUGAUGGGCCCAAGAAGAACUAAGCCAAUCACUCCAGGGGGCGUUUUCCCAGGAUCCAGGCAGAGAGCUGAUUCCAGCAUCCACGACGUAUCCCCCUCCCCCUGUGGCCGGGGUCUCCAAGAGCCAGGCACCCACUGCAGAGCUUCCAAGCCCAGGCCCAUUUGAACACAGGAGGACUUUUGAGGUUCAUUUAACCCCAAAAUCAGUGAUUCUACAUCUCAAGCUCAUAUUUUGAAGUGUUUACAGUAUGUAUCACUACACCUUGCCCAGAGAGACUGUAGGGGUGCUCAGCAGAAACCAUGGCUGGUUGAUUCCCUGGAAAAAGGGGUGCUGUCCCAGGGAGCUCUGUGCCCUUCCUGCCAACACUGGGGUCUCGAGGAGGCAAGUUCCCCUCUGAAGAGAAAGGAGUUCAUGAAGGCAGAAAUGCCUGGGGCCCACGAACAUCCCAGUGUGGCCCUGGACGGGACAUCAUGCUGGGCAACACAGCUAAAAUGCGGGUGAAGACCAGAUUUCUUGCACAUGGCGGUGACGGGAUGCUCCCUAGAGAGCUUCAAGUGGAUUCUUUGCUUUUUAUUUUCUCUCUUAAUAAAAAUGUAUGAUGUUUACAUUGUCAGAGAACAAACAGAA